UGGGGAAUAUUGCACAAUGGGCGAAAGCCUGAUGCAGCGACGCCGCGUGCGGGAUGAAGGCCUUCGGGUUGUAAACCGCUUUUAAUUGGGAGCAAGCGAGAGUGAGUGUACCUUUUGAAUAAGCACCGGCUAACUACGUGCCAGCAGCCGCGGUAAUACGUAGGGUGCAAGCGUUAUCCGGAAUUAUUGGGCGUAAAGAGCUCGUAGGCGGUUUGUCACGCCUGGUGUGAAAGUCCAUCGCUUAACGGUGGAUCUGCGCCGGGUACGGGCAGGCUAGAGUGCAGUAGGGGAGAUUGGAAUUCCCGGUGUAACGGUGGAAUGUGUAGANUAUCGGGAAGAACACCAAUGGCGAAGGCAGAUCUCUGGGCUGUUACUGACGCUGAGGAGCGAAAAGCAUGGGGAGCGAACAGGAUUAGAUACCCUGGUAGUCCAUGCCGUAAAACGGUGGAUGCUGGAUGUGGGACCCUUCCACGGGUUCCGUGUCGGAGCUAACGCGUUAAGCAUCCCGCCUGGGGAGUACGGCCGCAAGGCUAAAAACUCU
rnacentral:rRNA from 1 species